rnacentral:rRNA from 1 species
AGUGAACGCUGGCGGUAGGCCUAACACAUGCAAGUCGAACGGCAGCACAGUAAGAGCUUGCUCUUACGGGUGGCGAGUGGCGGACGGGUGAGGAAUACAUCGGAAUCUACUUUUUCGUGGGGGAUCACGUAGGGAAACUUACGCUAAUACCGCAUACGACCUACGGGUGAAAGCAGGGGAUCUUCGGACCUUGCGCGAUUGAAUGCGCCGAUGUCGGAUUAGCUAGUUGGCGGGGUAAAGGCCCACCAAGGCGACGAUCCGUAGCUGGUCUGAGAGGAUGAUCAGCCACACUGGAACUGAGACACGGUCCAGACUCCUACGGGAGGCAGCAGUGGGGAAUAUUGGACAAUGGGCGCAAGCCUGAUCCAGCCAUACCGCGUGGGUGAAGAAGGCCUUCGGGUUGUAAAGCCCUUUUGUUGGGAAAGAAAAGCAGCAGGUUAAUACCCCGCUGUUCUGACGGUACCCAAAGAAUAAGCACCGGCUAACUUCGUG